rnacentral:rRNA from 1 species
UUCCGCAUGGUGGAACUAUUAAAGAAUUUCGGUCAUCGAUGGGGAUGCGUUCCAUUAGGUUGUUGGCGGGGUAACGGCCCACCAAGCCUUCGAUGGAUAGGGGUUCUGAGAGGAAGGUCCCCCACAUUGGAACUGAGACACGGUCCAAACUCCUACGGGAGGCAGCAUG